GACGAACGCUGGCGGCGUGCUUAACACAUGCAAGUCGAACGUGAUUUUUGUGGAAAUUCUUUCGGGAAUGGAAAUGAAAUGAAAGUGGCGAACGGGUGAGUAACACGUGAGCAACCUACCUUACACAGGGGGAUAGCCGUUGGAAACGACGAUUAAUACCGCAUGAGACCACAAAGCCACAUGGCUUAGGGGUAAAAGAUUUAUCGGUGUAGGAUGGGCUCGCGUCUGAUUAGCUAGUUGGAAGGGUAAAGGCCUACCAAGGCAACGAUCAGUAGCCGGUCUGAGAGGAUGAACGGCCACAUUGGAACUGAGACACGGUCCAAACUCCUACGGGAGGCAGCAGUGGGGAAUAUUGCACAAUGGGGGGAACCCUGAUGCAGCGACGCCGCGUGAGCGAAGAAGGUUUUCGAAUCGUAAAGCUCUGUCCUAUGAGAAGAUAAUGACGGUAUCAUAGGAGGAAGCCCCGGCUAAAUACGUGCCAGCAGCCGCGGUAAUACGUAUGGGGCGAGCGUUGUCCGGAAUUAUUGGGCGUAAAGGGUACGUAGGCGGUUUUUUAAGUCAGGUGUGAAAGCGUGAGGCUUAACCUCAUUAAGCACUUGAAACUGGAAGGCUUGAGUGAAGGAGAGGAAAGUGGAAUUCCUAGUGUAGCGGUGAAAUGCGUAGAUAUUAGGAGGAAUACCGGUGGCGAAGGCGACUUUCUGGACUUUUACUGACGCUCAGGUACGAAAGCGUGGGGAGCAAACAGG
rnacentral:rRNA from 1 species